GACGAACGCUGGCGGCGUGCUUAACACAUGCAAGUCGAACGGAAAGGCCCUGCUUUUGUGGGGUGCUCGAGUGGCGAACGGGUGAGUAACACGUGAGUAACCUGCCCUUGACUUUGGGAUAACUUCGGGAAACUGGGGCUAAUACCGGAUAGGAGCCCCUGCUGCAUGGUGGGGGUUGGAAAGUUUCGGCGGUUGGGGAUGGACUCGCGGCUUAUCAGCUUGUUGGUGGGGUAGUGGCUUACCAAGGCUUUGACGGGUAGCCGGCCUGAGAGGGUGACCGGCCACAUUGGGACUGAGAUACGGCCCAGACUCCUACGGGAGGCAGCAGUGGGGAAUAUUGCACAAUGGGCGGAAGCCUGAUGCAGCAACGCCGCGUGCGGGAUGACGGCCUUCGGGUUGUAAACCGCUUUCGCCUGUGACGAAGCGUGAGUGACGGUAAUGGGUAAAGAAGCACCGGCUAACUACGUG
rnacentral:rRNA from 1 species